UACGUAGGGGCUAGCGUUAUCCGGAAUUACUGGGCGUAAAGGGUGCGUAGGUGGUUUCUUAAGUCAGAGGUGAAAGGCUACGGCUCAACCGUAGUAAGCCUUUGAAACUGGGAAACUUGAGUGCAGGAGAGGAGAGUGGAAUUCCUAGUGUAGCGGUGAAAUGCGUAGAGAUAUGGAGGAACACCAGUGGCGAAGGCGGCUUCCUGGUCUGUAACUGACACUGAGGCGCGAAAGCGUGGGGAGCAAACAGGAUUAGAUACCCGCGUAGUCCCUGAG
rnacentral:rRNA from 1 species